rnacentral:rRNA from 1 species
UCGGGAAUUUUGGGCAAUGGGGGAAACCCUGACCCAGCAACGCCGCGUGAAGGAUGAAGUAUUUCGGUAUGUAAACUUCGAAAGAAUAGGAAGAAUAAAUGACGGUACUAUUUAUAAGGUCCGGCUAACUACGUGCCAGCAGCCGCGGUAAUACGUAGGGACCAAGCGUUGUUCGGAUUUACUGGGCGUAAAGGGCGCGUAGGCGGCAUGACAAGUCACUUGUGAAAUCUCUGGGCUUAACCCAGAACGGCCAAGUGAUACUGUCGCGCUAGAGUGCAGAAGGGGCAAUCGGAAUUCUUGGUGUAGCGGUGAAAUGCGUAGAUAUGUGGAGGAAUACCGAUGGCGAAGGCAGCCCCCUGGGAUAACACUGACGCUCAUGCACGAAAGCGUGGGGAGCAAACAGGAUUAGAUACCCUUGUAGUCCCUGAGCGGGCUGGCAAGGCGCAU